rnacentral:rRNA from 1 species
UCGCGAGAUCGCGAGAGCAAGCGGACCUCAUAAAGUGCGUCGUAGUCCGGAUUGGAGUCUGCAACUCGACUCCAUGAAGUCGGAAUCGCUAGUAAUCGUGGAUCAGAAUGCCACGGUGAAUACGUUCCCGGGCCUUGUACACACCGCCCGUCACACCAUGGGAGUGGGUUGCAAAAGAAGUAGGUAGCUUAACCUUCGGGAGGGCGCUUACCACUUUGUGAUUCAUGACUGGGGUGAAGUCGUAACAAGGUAACCGUAGGGGAACCUGCGGUUGGAUCACCUCCUUA